GCGCAUUGGCCGCUGGUCCAAGCAGUUCCCCUGCCAGGAAGGCCUCACCAUGGAUAUACGCAGGAACAUGACCGCUGACCGCACGCGGCACGACCCUGGCCGUUUCUUCUCUUCUCUCGACUCCUGUUUUUCCAAAUCCAAAAAUCGUCAAACCCUAGUGAAGGAGCGGCGGCGGACUCUGGCAGGGUCUUGGGCUGCUGUCGUGUUCCUCUUCGCAGAGGAGAUCUACCGUGCUCGCCCAUCUUCAUCCUCCCUGCUCUGCUCGCCCGCUACCAUGGCCCGCUUCUGCCCCACCACGGCGCCGCGCGGCCACGCGCUACUAGCUCCUUCGUCAAGCUUCGAAAUGUGGUAAGAUGUGAGGAUGUGAUCGAUGGUUUAUUGUUUCUGUUUUUGAGUUGGUUGCCGAUGGAAGGAAAUCGUGGGAAUUCUGUAGCUGCUGGUCACGGAUUGUGCCAUCAAAACAUGGGACAUAGAUAUGUUUGUUGAUUCUAACCAGUUUAAAGAGAGACGAAAUGGAAUUCGAUGCUACUGCUAUGUGGAUCUUCUAUUCGGCUGGUGGAUGUUAGUGGCGAGAAGGUUUUUGCAUCUGGCACGCCACCUAUAAUAAGCAGACUGGCAACAGGGGCAGUGGUGAGGAACAAAUGUUCAGGGAAAGAGAAAGACAAUAGAGUUACAUUGUUUGUUACUCGUAUCCACUAGAAAUAUCAGGUUGUAGGCAGUCCGAUUGCUCAGUAGAUAGCCCCUUGAUUUAUUGACAAUGAUUUGUACUAAAAUUGAUGCAAAGUGUGUGUGUGUGUGUCCAUUGCUACACAUUGAAAUAAAAUGUCCUGUAUGAUGAAGAUUAAUUCUCAAAUGAAUUUGUUUUGCUUGUAGAAA